AUUUAAUAGGAUAAUUUAGUCUCUCAGUUUUCAAAAUUGAAUGUGGAAUAAAAGAAUUUACAGUUCUUC
rnacentral:tRNA from 2 species